CUCCAAGCUUGAUUGUUAGAUUAAACACGACCUGAACUUAUUACCUACCACGUGUACUUGUUAUAGAUGGAAUUAACUUUCAACAUGAUUACUUAUCAAUUCUAUUUGAUGCAGUUAAAGAAGUAAAUAGUAGAUAUCAUAUUGGUUUUACUGAAGGGGUGGAUUUUCCAAAGGAUUUAUAUAUCCAAUAUUCGAAGGAUUGUUUUUAGACUAUAAUUAUUCUUCAAGAGUAUUUAAUCUUCUUUAAUGAACUAAUUAUUUAGUGAAUAAAGAAUAAUUCUUUAAUUAAUAAAAUACUCGAAAAUAAACUUCAAAUGUCUUCGAGAAGUGUGAAAAUUUUUCAACAUUGUGCAAAUUAUCAAAUCUCCAUGAAAAAUCAAUUUAUUCAGUAGAAAUUUAUUUGUUUACUCGAAAAAGAAUUUGGUAAAUAAAGGCUAAUGUUGACAUUACAUUAAUACAAGGCUACAAGAAAUAUUGUAAACAUUCAUUACUAUUGUUGUCAUUUUUAAUUACUUCUAACAGUAUCAGAAGAAUAUUAAGGCUAAAAUCUGUUCUAUGUUAAACUGUUUGUUGAUGGAAUCAAAGUGGUGUGUAAUGAUGAUAACAAUAUUAGAAUACAGAUAAAAUAUGGUUACAUGGUUGGCAAAUCCCAAUAAUCACCUUUUUCUCUAUAUUGAUAAAUUUCUUUCUGAUGACACUCAACUGACUGAACAGUUAUCUGGGAAAGUCCUGCAUCAAGAUAACGUUCUUGAGACUAAUAAUGUCAACAAAGUGAAAAGGCCGAAAAAAGAUAUGAGAUUUAUUUUGAUGAUUGAAUGGUUUAAAAUUUUGAUUAUUUAAAUUCUAAAUGUUGGAUAAGAAGAAAAAAUAAAAAAACCCGAAAUAAUUAUUGUGAUCGUCAGAUUCAUUCAUUGACAACUUAACUGAUAACUGUCACAAAUAUUUACAUAUAUAAAUGAUUGCAGUAUACCGGAUCAAAUAAAGAUGGAUUAAGAGUCAGUUAAUUCAAAGAAUUUGAUAAAUAAAUAGAACUAAUACUCACUAGUACAAUUAAAUGUGUUAAAUUUUUUUUUUUUAGUCCAACACUAAUUGGGAAGAAAAACUU